rnacentral:lncRNA from 1 species
UGAGCGUGUGUGAGGGAGGGAAGGAGCGAGCGGGCGGGCGAGCGAGCAACCCGUGCCGUCAGCCUGCAGCACCAGCCAGGCCCCGCCGCCGCCCCGUCGCUCCGCGCCGAGGCCGGGCCGAGCCGAGCUGGGUCGGGCCCGGGCCAUGCUGCUCACCGUGUACUGUGUGCGGAGGGACCUCUCCGAGGUGACCUUUUCCCUCCAGGUCGACGCCGACUUUGAGCUGCACAACUUCCGCGCUCUGUGUGAGCUCGAGUCCGGCAUUCCCGCGGCUGAGAGCCAGAUUGUCUACGCUGAAAGGCCUCUCACAGACAACCACAGAUCACUGGCGUCUUACGGCUUAAAGGAUGGCGACGUUGUGAUUUUACGACAGAAGGAGAAUGCAGACCCUCGACCUUCAGUGCAGUUCCCAAACUUACCCCGAAUAGACUUCCGUAGCAUAGCUGUGCCUGGCACGUCAAACACCCGGCAGCGCCAGCCACCAGGAGUGCAGCAGUCCCACUCAGCUCCUGGAGAAAUAGCUUCAUCUCCUCAGGGCUUGGACAAUCCAGCCUUGCUCCGAGACAUGUUGCUGGCCAACCCCCAUGAGCUGUCCUUGCUGAAGGAACGCAAUCCACCCUUGGCAGACGCUCUGCUCAGUGGAGAUCUUGAGAGAUUUUCUAGGGUCCUGGUGGAGCAGCAACAGGACCGAGCCCGGAGAGAGCAAGAAAGGAUUCGUCUCUUUUCUGCGGACCCUUUUGAUCUUGAAGCUCAGGCAAAGAUAGAAGAAGAUAUAAGGCAACAGAACAUUGAGGAAAACAUGACAAUAGCCAUGGAAGAGGCUCCAGAAAGUUUUGGCCAAGUAGUGAUGCUUUAUAUCAACUGCAAAGUGAAUGGACACCCUGUGAAAGCCUUUGUUGACUCAGGUGCCCAGAUGACUAUUAUGAGCCAAGCUUGUGCAGAAAGGUGUAAUAUAAUGAGGCUGGUAGACCGUCGGUGGGCAGGAAUCGCCAAAGGAGUGGGCACUCAGAAGAUCAUUGGAAGGGUACAUCUAGCUCAGGUUCAAAUUGAAGGUGAUUUCCUGGCAUGUUCCUUCUCUAUACUUGAGGAGCAGCCCAUGGACAUGCUUCUGGGACUGGAUAUGCUGAAACGGCAUCAGUGUUCUAUUGACCUCAAGAAGAACGUACUCGUGAUCGGCACCACAGGCUCGAAGACCACCUUCCUUCCUGAGGGGGAGUUACCAGAGUGUGCCCGGUUGGCAUAUGGGCCCGGGCGAGAUGAAGUACGGCCAGAGGAGAUUGCAGACCAAGAACUGGCAGAAGCCCUUCAAAAGUCUGUAGAGGAUGCAGAGCGUCAGAAGCCAUGA